rnacentral:lncRNA from 1 species
CCCCUCUCCCCGCCCUGGCUGUGUAGAAGUCGUGCAAAGCCAUUGCCGUGCACUUUAUGUUUUAGACUACUGUUAUAUAUUAUAUAUUUUCCUCUUUUUUUUUUUUUUUUUUCUUUUUUUUUUUCUUUUUCUCUUUUGUUCAUAGACUUAAAAAUGCUGAGUUGGAGUCGGAGUUAGUGCUUUGGACACAGACUUGCAGAGGGAAGGAGGGACCCGGGCUCUUUACUCGCAUGCAACGGGGACGCGGGGCAGGACCGCGGUGCUGGGGGGGGGCCCUCGGCUGUGCCCCCUCCCGCCCCGCUGCCGAGCCCCCCCCCAGUAACACAGCUUGGGCUUUUUUUCUCUUUUUUUUUUUUUUUUCACCCAUCCAUUGAAACAUAAAUAAAUUAAAAACAAAACAAACACAAUAAAAAGCAAAACCCCAGGAGCAGCAGCCCCAGGCCCUGCUUCCAGUUCAGGCUCCCCGCGGUGCUGGGGCUGCUCGCGGGCACCGUCCCCGCUCCCCCUACGACGAGUCCCCAGCUGGACGGAGCGGCCUUAUUGCUUGUAAAACAAAAAAAAAAAAAAAGCCAAAACAAAACCCAAAAACCAGCGAGAGGGGAGCGCGAAGCUGCUACACAGCUCUGCUGCGAGGUAAGGAUUAGGCCUCAGCUCGGUUCGGGGGUUUAUUCGCCAAGUCCCUCGGCGCCAGCCUCCUGGCACGCGCUCUGCUCCACCUCUGCGCCCUGCCGGCACCCGGCGGCUCCUCGCUCCCGCGAGCACCGGGGCUCGGCCACCCCGCGCUGCCGGCCCCCCGCGGCGGGGUGGG